rnacentral:rRNA from 1 species
GAUGAACGCUAGCGGGAGGCUUAACACAUGCAAGUCGAGGGGCAGCACUGAUAGCAAUAUUAGGUGGCGACCGGCGGACGGGUGAGUAACGCGUAUGCAACCUACCCUUUACAGGGGGAUAGCCCGGAGAAAUUCGGAUUAAUACCCCAUAGAUCAGUGAUUCUGCAUGGGAUUACUGGUAAAGCUUCGGCGGUAAAGGAUGGGCAUGCGUCCCAUUAGCUAGUUGGUAGGGUAACGGCCUACCAAGGCAACGAUGGGUACGGGGUCUUAAAGGAUGGACCCGCACACUGGCACUGAGACACGGGCCAGACUCCUACGGGAGGCAGCAGUGAGGAAUAUUGGUCAAUGGGGGGAACCCUGAACCAGCCAUCCCGCGUGCAGGAAGACAGUUCUAUGGAUUGUAAACUGCUUUUCUUGGGGAAGAAUAAUGACGACGUGUCGUCAGAUGACGGUACCCGAGGAAUAAGCAUCGGCUAACUCCGUGCCAGCAGCCGCGGUAAAACGUGCGUG